rnacentral:rRNA from 1 species
ACACUGCAAGUCGAACGGGGCGACCCUUGAAAAGAGAGUUUUCGGUCGAAUGGAUAGGAAUAGCUUAGUGGCGGACGGGUGAGUAACGACGUGAGUAACCUAGCCUUUCACGAGGGGGACGAACAGUUGGAAACGACUGCUAAUACCGCAUAACAUAUAGGUGCCGCAUGGCACUUAUAUCAAAGAUUUAUCGCUGAGAGAUGGACUCGCGUCUGAUUAGCUAGUUGGUGGGGUAACGGCCCACCAAGGCGACGAUCAGUAGCCGGACUGAGAGGUUGGCCGGCCACAUUGGGACUGAGAUACGGCCCAGACUCCUACGGGAGGCAGCAGUGGGGAAUAUUGGGCAAUGGGCGCAAGCCUGACCCAGCAACGCCGCGUAAAGGAAGAAGGCUUUCGGGUUGUAAACUUCUUUUGACAGGGAGGAGCAGAAGACGGUACCUGUCGAAUAAGCCACGGCUAACUACGUG